UGUUAAAGAUUUCAUCCAUUUAUAUUAUUAAAAACUAGCAUGACUGACGAAAUAAUAUAAUAGUGUCACGUGGUGUGCCACAUGUAUCUCAUGUGGAUAUAUAGGAACUAGUGUUUAACAGUAGAAAUAGAUGAACUUUUUAACA
rfam:Gossypium raimondii Chr06_contig_703, whole genome shotgun sequence.